GGGGCUUCGGUCCUGAGUGGAGUGGCGCACGGUGUGAGUAACGCGUAGAUGACCUGUCGUAUUGGCUGGGAUGACAUUCGGAAAGGGGUACUAAUACCGGAUAUUCAUGUGUUUUAUAAGGGAGACAAGGAAAGGUGGCCUCUGUUGUAUGCUACCGCAAGAUGAGGGGUCUGCGUACCAUUAGCUAGUAGGUGGGGUAAUGGCCUACCUAGGCGACGAUGGUUAGCGGGUCUGAGAGGAUGAUCCGCCACACUGGCACUGAAACACGGGCCAGACUCCUACGGGAGGCAGCAGUGAGGAAUAUUGCGCAAUGGGGGCAACCCUGACGCAGCGACGCCGCGUGAGUGAGGAAGGCCUUCGGGUCGUAAAGCUCUGUCAAGGGGGAAGAAGUGUGUACUGGUUAAUACCCAGUAUAUUUGACGGUACCCCUAAAGGAAGCACCGGCUAACUCCGUGCCAGCAGCCGCGGUAAUACGGAGGGUGCAAGCGUUGUUCGGAAUUACUGGGCGUAAAGGGCGCGCAGGCGGUUUGGUCAGUCAGAUGUGAAAGCCCACGGCUUAACCGUGGAAGUGCAUUUGAUACUGCCGGACUUGAGUACCAGAGGGGAAAGUGGAAUUCCCGGUGUAGAGGUGAAAUUCGUAGAUAUCGGGAGGAAUACCGGUGGCGAAGGCGACUUUCUGGCUGGAUACUGACGCUGAGGCGCGAAAGCGUGGGGAGCAAACAGGAUUAGAUACCCUGGUAGUCCACGCUGUAAACGAUGUGAACUAGAU
rnacentral:rRNA from 1 species